UACGUAGGGGGCAAGCGUUGUCCGGAAUUAUUGGGCGUAAAGGGCGCGUAGGCGGUCCGCUAAGUCUGAUGUGAAAGCCCGGGGCUCACCCCCGGAAGGGCAUUGGAAACUGGCGGACUCGAGUCCCGGAGAGGAAGGUGGAAUUCCUGGUGUAGCGGUGAAAUGCGUAGAUAUCAGGAGGAAUACCGGUGGCGAAGGCGGCCUUCUGGACGGUGACUGACGCUGAGACACGAAGGUCAGGGGAGCAAACGGG
rnacentral:rRNA from 1 species